GUACUCAUCUCCAAAAUCCAACAGCAACAGGUCAAACAAGCCUUGGAAUCUAAGCUAAUAGCCUAAGAAGAAGGACAUCAGAGCAGCUUCUCAUAAUCUGCAGCUUUCAGAAAUAAGACAUAAAAUUCUGAGCAACCCACACAAUCUCAAGGACAAACAUGAAAAGGUGGGACUGUGGCCCUAUUAGAAACUCUGCCUGAGCAGCUCUAUAAAAAUGUUGCAGAGAUGAAUCUGUGGUGUUAUAUGAUACCAACUACAUUAUCAUGAAGUAGCAAUAAGAAGCAAACCUUCUUAUUGCUACUUCAUGAUAAUGUAGUUGAAUGAUAGUAGAAUGAUACUCUACCAUAAGAAGUCAGCUUCAGAGAAGAAUUUAAGCAACCAAUACUCAUCUGCAUCAUUCUUUGCCCAGUGCAAGAUAUUUCUCUGAAAUGACUUUCUGAGUUCUAAAUUACUCAGAUGCUCACAUCAAAGUGCUUUAUCUUCCCCCAGCUGGGAGUUCUGGUUAUUUCCUCACCAUUCGUUUGUUCUGUUGCUCAGCCUAUAUCCUAUAUUUACUUUUUCUUAGUUUCAUACCAUUAUUCUCAGUUAUUUUGACAGCACUUAAAAAAAAAAAAAAAAAAAGAACUGUAGGAAAUACUUCCAAGAUUUGUUUCAAAUGAAGACUGGAAGAAUAAACGUUUUAUAAGUUCAAGAAAAAAAUAUGAAUCUUCAGAACUUCACAGCAUUGCCCUAGAGUAGAACUCGGAAGUUUUCUUCUUAAAUACAUAAAAUGACUUGAAAGCAAGUUACCUGUCUCCAGCUGCACACACACCCCUACUUGUAUAUUUUCAGAAAUGUCGUAAAAUGGGUCAGCCUUUUGAUGCCCUGGAAUAUGCAGCCAUAAAAAUAUACUAUCUUGUGAUUAACCUAAAAAACCUGAUGUUCCUGUGGUUAAGAAGCUCUGUCUUCCCCUGUGUCUGCCUAGAGAACCUGAAUGUGAACAAGUCUGUGGGACGUGAUGAGAUGCAUCUGCAGGUCCUAAGGGAACUGCUGGAUGAAGUUCACAGAAUCAUUGAGGUUGGAAAAGACCUCAAAGAUCAUCUGGUCCAACCAUCACUCUACUACCAACGGCACCCACUGAACCAUGUUCCUAAGCACCAAGUCCACCUUUACUAAAACACUCCCCGGGACAGUGACUCCACCACUUCCCUGAGUAACCCGUUCCAAUGCCUGACUACUCUUUCUGAGAAGAAAUGUCUACAAAUUUCCAGAGUAAACCUCCCCUGGAACAACUUGGGGCCAUUCCCUUUUGUCCUAUCACUACUUAUCUGUGAGAAGAGGCUGACAUCCAGCUCCCCACAAUUUCCUUUCAGGCAGUUGUAGAGACCAAUAAGGUCUUCCCUGAGCAUCCUCUUCUCCAGACUAAACAACCCCAGUUUCCUUAGCCAUUACUCACAGGACUUGUGUUCCAGGCCCUUCACCAGCUUCAUAACCCUUCUCAGACACACUCUAGGGCCUUAAUGUCUUUCUUAUAAUGCCCAAAGCUGAACACAGUACUCGAGGUGUGGCCUCACCAGAGCAGAAUACAAGGGGACAAUCACCUCCCUGGUCCUGCUGGCUACACUGUUCCUGAUACAUGCCAGGAUUUUUGGUCACCUGGACACACUGCUCAUUCAGGGGAGCAUCAAUCAGCACCCCCAGAUCUUUUUCCUCUGCACAGCUUUCGAGCCAAUCUUCCCCAAGCCUGUAGCUCUGCAUAGGGUUUUCGUGGCCAAAGUGCAGGACCCUCCACUUAGUCAUGUUCAGCCUCAUCCCAUUGGCCUCUGCUCAUCCACCCUGUACAGAUCCCUUGCAGGGCCUUCUUGUCUUCUCGCAGAUCAACACUCCCCUCCAACUUGGUGUUGUCUGCAGACUUACUGAGGGUGUACGCCAUUCCCUCAUCCAAAACAAGAUAUUAAAGAGGAUGGGCCCCAACACCUACCCCUGGGAAGACCACUUGUGACUGGUCAUCAGCUGGCUUUCACUAUGUUCAACACUACUCUCUGGGCUCAGCCAUCCAGCCAGUUUUUACCUCAGCAAGGACUGUACCUGUCCAAGACACAGACUGCCAGCUUCUCCAAGAGAACACUAUGGGAGACUGUGUCAAAG
ensembl:lncRNA